UGCUGUUUCUCCUUCACUUUCUGACGUUAUUUCUGUUGGUUUCUGUUCUAUGUUUAAUUUAUCUUUUCCUGAACUUUGUCCUAUUUCUACAUUUUGCGUUAAUUUUUGAUUUUGUUCUAAAUAAUCACAUCUUAAUUUUAAUUGUCUUACUUCCAAUUUUAAUUGUCUUAUUUCAGAUUGUAAAUCCAUAGAGGAAAUUGUUGUUACCGAUUUUUUAUUUUUAAAUAGUUGUUCAAUAUCUUCAAAUUUAGUUGGUGGUACAGUGUCUUG
rnacentral:lncRNA from 1 species